CCUACGGGGGGCAGCAGUCGAGAAUCAUUCACAAUGGGGGAAACCCUGAUGGUGCGACGCCGCGUGGGGGAAUGAAGGUCUUCGGAUUGUAAACCCCUGUCAUGUGGGAGCAAAUUAAAAAGAUAGUACCACAAGAGGAAGAGACGGCUAACGCUGUGCCAGCAGCCGCGGUAAUACAGAGGUCUCAAGCGUUGUUCGGAAUCACUGGGCGUAAGGCGUGCGUAGGCUGUUUCGUAAGUCGUGUGUGAAAGGCGCGGGCUCAACCCGCGGACGGCACAUGAUACUGCGAGACUAGAGUAAUGGAGGGGGAACCGGAAUUCUCGGUGUAGCAGUGAAAUGCGUAGAUAUCGAGAGGAACACUCGUGGCGAAGGCGGGUUCCUGGACAUUAACUGACGCUGAGGCACGAAGGCCAGGGGAGCGAAAGGGAUUAGAUACCCGAGUAGUC
rnacentral:rRNA from 1 species